rnacentral:rRNA from 1 species
AGUGAACGCUGGCGGCAGGCCUAACACAUGCAAGUCGAACGGAAGGACAGUAAGAGCUGGCUCUUACGGGUGGCGAGUGGCGGAUGGGUGAGGAAUACAUCGGAAUCUACUUUUGGGUGGGUGAUAACGAAGGGGGACAUAAGCUGAUACCGCAUACGACCUCCGGGUGGGAGCAGGGGAGCUUCGGAGCUUGGGCGAUGGAAUGAGCCGAUGUCGGAUUUGCUUGUUGGCGGGGUAAAGGCCCACCAAGGCGACGAUCCGUAGCUGGUCUGAGAGGAUGAUCAGCCACACUGGAACUGAGACACGGUCCAGACUCCUACGGGAGGCAGCAGUGGGGAAUAUUGGACAAUGGGCGCAAGCCUGAUCCAGCCAUACCGCGUGGGUGAAGAAGGCCUUCGGGUUGUAAAGCCCUUUUGUUGGGAAAGAAAAGCAGCAGGUUAAUACCCCGCUGUUCUGACGGUACCCAAAGAAUAAGCACCGGCUAACUUCGUG